CCCUUAGAUGUUCUGGGCCGCACGCGCGCUACACUGAUGCACUCAACGAGUCUCCACCUUGACCGAAAGGUCCGGGAAACCUUCGAACUUGCAUCGUGAUGGGGAUAGAUUAUUGCAACUAUUAAUCUUCAACGAGGAAUACCUAGUAGGCGCAUGUCAUCAGCGUGCGUCGAUUACGUCCCUGCCCUUUGUACACACCGCCCGUCGCUACUACCGAUUGAAUGAUUUAGUGAGGACUUCGGACUGGGACCGAUGCGGCUUUCGGGCUGCGUCGGUAUUCUGGAAAGAUGUCCAAACUGUAUCAUUUAGAGGAAGUAAAAGUCGUAACA
rnacentral:rRNA from 1 species